GAAAGCAUCUUUGGUCUAAGGAAGGAGAGGAAUAUUUUGCAUGGAGGAAUGUUAAAAUAGAUCUGAGCAGUCAGAGUGAAUUUAGGAUCCAACUUUCAGCUGUAGCAAGGUUUGUUGGAGAUCAAGGAGACAUUGCAGUAGAUGACUUAGACAUUGAAAUGAAUGGAUGUUCAGAUAUUGGAACAGCGCCCCCAAUGGCCACAACUAAACCAACUGCCGCUCCUGUGCUAUCUAUCUGUAACUUUGAGGUGGAUUGGUGUGACUUCACAGCCUUGACGCCGAACUCACUCUCCUGGAAUCGAGGGUCUGGCAAACGAUCAUCUUUUAGUGGACCAUCAGUUGACCACACCCUGGGGAGUAC